AUUGAACGCUGGCGGCAUGCCUUACACAUGCAAGUCGAACGGCAGCACGGGUGCUUGCCCCUGGUGGCGAGUGGCGAACGGGUGAGUAAUACAUCGGAACAUGUCCUGUAGUGGGGGAUAGCCCGGCGAAGGCCGGAUUAAUACCGCAUACGAUCCACGGAUGAAAGCGGGGGACCUUCGGGCCUCGCGCUAUAGGGUUGGCCGAUGGCUGAUUAGCUAGUUGGUGGGGUAAAGGCCUACCAAGGCGACGAUCAGUAGCUGGUCUGAGAGGACGACCAGCCACACUGGGACUGAGACACGGCCCAGACUCCUACGGGAGGCAGCAGUGGGGAAUUUUGGACAAUGGGCGAAAGCCUGAUCCAGCAAUGCCGCGUGUGUGAAGAAGGCCUUCGGGUUGUAAAGCACUUUUGUCCGGAAAGAAAUCCUUGGCUCUAAUACAGUCGGGGGAUGACGGUACCGGAAGAAUAAGCACCGGCUAACUACGUG
rnacentral:rRNA from 1 species